rnacentral:lncRNA from 1 species
AGCUGAGUAAUUUUAUCUCAGUUGUGCAUAUGGCAAAAAUAAGUAACUGGAUAUCAGAGAAAGUGCGAAUGGGCUGCAAAAACCCUGAAAGGGGCCGGCUCAUGUAGAAUGCAUUCUUUUCCAGCAACGAAGGCCUGUGCAGGAGUCCUUGAGGAACACCCAGAUUUUUCAGAGCAUCAGAAACCAUGUGUCAGUGUGGUGAAUGCAUCCUCUCCUGGAGAACAGAGAGAGAUUCCACAGAGGGCACCUGAUUGCAGCAAAUGUGAAGGACAGCAUUUGACCCUGCUAAGAAAAGAAAGAAAGAAAUGAGAAAAAUAAAAAGAGAAAAGUUAUUAGACACGCUAUCACCAAACUUCAAAUUCUCAUCAAUUGAAGGAUGUGUUCAAGUAUUUGUUUGUAUGUGAGUGUGAGCAAUAUUAACUCAUCCCAGAAGGACCCCAAAAU